rnacentral:rRNA from 1 species
GAUAAACGCUAGCGGCAGGCUUAACACAUGCAAGUCGAGGGGCAGCAUAGAUUGUAGCAAUACAAUUGGUGGCGACCGGCGCACGGGUGCGUAACGCGUAUGCAACCUACCCGUCACAGGGGGAUAAUCCGGAGAAAUCUGGUCUAAUACCCCAUAACAUAUGGAUCGGCAUCGGUUCAUGUUGAAAUUUUCGGAGGUGACGGAUGGGCAUGCGUAGCAUUAGCUUGUUGGUGAGGUAACGGCUCACCAAGGCGACGAUGCUUAGGGGGACUGAGAGGUUAACCCCCCACACUGGAACUGAGACACGGUCCAGACUCCUACGGGAGGCAGCAGUGAGGAAUCUUGCGCAAUGGGCGAAAGCCUGACGCAGCGACGCCGCGUGGAGGAUGAAAGUCUUCGGAUUGUAAACUCCUGUUAAGUGGGAAGAAAUAGCCAUCCUUAAUACGGGUGGCGAAUGACGGUACCAUUAGAGAAAGCACCGGCUAAUCUCGUGCCAGCAGCCGCGGUAA